rnacentral:rRNA from 1 species
CCCUUAGAUGUUCUGGGCCGCACGCGUGCUACACUGAACGGUUCAAUGGGUAAGGUAGUGCGAAAGCAUGACCUAAUCUCGAAAUCCGUUCGUGCUGGGGAUAGAAGCUUGCAAUUAUCCUUCUUGAACGAGGAAUACCUUGUAAGCGUGAGUCAUCAUCUCACGCUGAAUACGUCCCUGCCCUUUGUACGCACCGCCCGUCGCUCCUACCGAUUGAGUGUUCCGGUGAGGCUUUGGGAGAAUGGCCUCAACAUGAGUUUAUCGUGUUUUGCCGUUUGAACUUAGUCAAACCUUAUCACUUAGAGGAAGGAGAAGUCGUAACA